rnacentral:lncRNA from 1 species
UGUGAAUCUGCUUGGUUAAUCCGCGAUGGGGGAUCACUACCUACUUGGUUAUCUUGACCUUGCUUGGUUAAUCUGCAAUGGGGGGUCACUUGAGGUCCUGCUUGGUUAAUCCGCAAUAGGACCUUAUUAUUUAUGGAUCGUGCUUGGUUAAUCCGCGAUGGGCGAUCCUUAUGGCCAUACAUACUUAGGGGUGAUCAUGCUUGGUUAAUCCGCGAUUGGUGAUCACUGCCUAACAUAUUCGUAUGAGUGACCCUGCUUGGUUAAUCUGCGAUGGGAGGUCACUACCUACAUGGUUACUCAUGGGUGGCUCUGCUUGGUUAAUCCACUAUGGGGGGGCCACUUCCUAUUUGGUUACUUAUGUAGGCUUCGGUCAAACUGCGUCCCUCUAGCCCUAGAUUUUAGUGUAUUUAUGAACAAUAGUUUUUGAGAAUCUUUGGGGCUUGAGUUGGAAAAAUUGUUGGAUGUCUGGGUGACUCCCUUUGGAGUUUUUUAGAGACUUGACUAUGUUUUUCAUAAUUAUGAACUUAUAUUUGAGGUUUAUAAACUGUGAUCAAUGGUCUUUCUUUUUAUUGAUUAUCACAUACUUGUAUUAUUGUCACUCACCCGAGCUUCGCAACUUAUCCAAGUUUUGGUUUACCAGUGCACCAUUCCCAUGAUUUUACAAAUGAUUUCGUUGAGUGGCUCGAAACCCGAUGCGGUCGGAUUUCGUUGAGUGUUCCGAAAUCCUUACUCUUGUACAUUUCCAAAAGGUUAGUCUAGAACCCUAGUUUCGAGUGAAUGAGAAUUAUCCACAAUAGACCUUGUGAAAAUAAAAUAGAUUUACCAUGUUGUUACUCAUAAUCCAAGUAGGAAAUUAUAUAGAGUUCUUN